AAUGGUUGGUGGCGCGCUUCUCCCGAAUCAGGGCGACGUCGUCAUGCACAUUUCGCGUAACUGCCGUGCAGACACCCAGCCCGCUUAAGCGGGCUUUUUUUU
rfam:Erwinia sp. EM595 isolate E_g_EM595 genome assembly, chromosome: 1